GAUGAACGCUAGCGAUAGGCUUAACACAUGCAAGUCGAGGGGCAGCAUGGUCUUAGCUUGCUAAGGCUGAUGGCGACCGGCGCACGGGUGCGUAACGCGUAUGCAACUUGCCUCACAGAGGGGGAUAACCCGUCGAAAGACGGACUAAUACCGCGUACACUCUAUGUUGGGCAUCCAAUGUAGAGGAAAUGAAAUUCGCUGUGAGAUAGGCAUGCGUCCCAUUAGCUAGUUGGUGAGGUAACGGCUCACCAAGGCGACGAUGGGUAGGGGAACUGAGAGGUUGAACCCCCACACUGGUACUGAGCCACGGACCAGACUCCUACGGGAGGCAGCAGUGAGGAAUAUUGGUCAAUGGGCGAGAGCCUGAACCAGCCAAGUCGCGUGAAGGAUGACUGUCUUAUGGAUUGUAAACUUCUUUUAUACGGGAAUAACAAGAGUCACGUGUGGCUCCCUGCAUGUACCGUAUGAAUAAGCAUCGGCUAACUCCGUG
rnacentral:rRNA from 1 species